GAGUCGUAACAAGGUUUCCGUAGGUGAACCUGCGGAAGGAUCAUUAUCGAGAACUGCCCUCGGGCAAUCUCCCACCCUCUGCUUACAAUACUCUGUUGCUUUGGCAGGCCCGCCCUAGGGCCGCCGGCUCCGGCUGGCCAGCGCCUGCCAGGGGACCAAAACUCGUGAAUCAGUGUCGUCUGAGCGUCAUUUUAAUAGUUAAAA
rnacentral:misc_RNA from 1 species